AAUGAGUUUGAUGGCUUUCAUUCAGUUUUGAUCACUGGGUUAGCAAAUAACCUGCAGGUGAACU